rnacentral:rRNA from 1 species
GCUUAACACAUGCAAGUCGAGCGAGAUUUUUUCUUGUAGCAAUACAGGGAAAAGUCUAGCGGCGAACGGGUGCUUAACACGUGGGCAACCUGCCGUGAAGUGGGGGAUAGCUCGCCGAAAGGCGAAUUAAUACCGCAUGUGAUUAGAGAGGACAUCCUUUCGAAAUUAAAGUCGGGGCAACCUGACGCUUCUUGUGGGGCCCGCGGCCUAUCAGCUAGUUGGUGAGGUAACGGCUCACCAAGGCUUUGACGGGUAGCUGGUCUGAGAGGACGACCAGCCACACUGGGACUGAGACACGGCCCAGACACCUACGGGUGGCAGCAGUCGAGAAUUUUUCACAAUGGGCGCAAGCCUGAUGGAGCGACGCCGCGUGGGGGAUGAAGGGCUUCGGCUCGUAAACCCCUGUCAGUUGCGAACAAAGUGUACCGGUGAACAUCCGGUGCGCUGAUAGUAGUGACAGAGGAAGGGACGGCUAACUCUGUGCCAGCAGCCGCGGUAAUUC